AUAGAUCUUAAAAUACUAUGUCUGUCCUCCCCUCCUUUUAUCCUCCCCCGCUUUUUUUUUUAACACUGUAAGCUUCUUUUUUUUUUUUUUUUUAAAGAUAGGGUCUUGCACUGUUGCCCAGGCUGGACUGUCAUGGCGUGAUCAUGGUUCAGUGCAGCCUCAACCUCCCGGGCUCAAGCAAUCCCCUCACCUCAGUUUCCCCAGUAGCUGGGAGAUCGAGGGAGAGCUACUCCUUGAGCAUUUCAAAGAGGUGGCUCUCAGGUCCUUGAGGAGACAAUUCUGGACAGCAGAAGAUUUAUAUCUCAAAGGGGUGGAGAAAGGAUUUAGAACUGUAAGCUUUCUAAAGGAACUGCUCUGAGAGGUGGUCCAGGGGCUUAUCUGACCAUCACUGGGUUUGGCUAAAACCAACAGUAAAUUCUUCUGGCAAUGUUGAGGUUUCUCAAUUGGGCACUGAAGGGCAGAUAAGGUCAUCCUAAGGACGUGGCCUGAAGCUGAUAGAAGUCAUGCUGGAUUUUGGUCAGGUCUCUUAGUGCAGGCAUUUGGGCAGAGUCGUUAUAUAUUAAAUGUGAAUGGUAACCAACAUAUUCGAGGAGAGCUGGCAUCUGGAAAGAGAAAGAUGAGUUUAAAACAAUGAGGAUAAAAUAGGCCUAGAACAAAAUAAUGAUGCAGAUUCAGGGUACAGAGGAGAAUUAAGCAACAGCAGAACAAAACUAGGCCAAAUCAAUCUUACAAAUCACUAACUGGCAACGUUAUAGGCAGACAUCUAUACAUUUAUACGAGUACACAAACACAUCAAUGUGUAUAUGUAUAUAUAUAAAACAAAUGAAUUUAACUCAAUAGAAUACCUUUAAAAUAAUGUUGAAGAUUAUUAUUCCAAAAAACAAAACAAAGCAAAAUAACGAGAUAAAGAUUUAAAAUAGUUAGAAACAUUUAGACAUAUGAGAGACUAGAGGAUGAGUUCAAAAGGGAGUAUCAAUGCUGCCAAGGCCAUCAGGCAGCAGACUGCAUGGGUGCAGUGAACGCCCAGCACAUGUAGUGAAGCAAUGUCCACAACUAACUCUGUAAGUGUGAAACCUGAACACAUCAUAAAAGCUCUUAGAAUGUAAAUACAAUCUCCUAAGAAGGAGUAAGAAGUACUUGCAUAUCAGGCUUCUCUUUAGCACCCAGUUAGCCAGAGGUUGAUUGAAGAAGGCCUUUACACACUGAGGACAUUUUUCAAACCUGAAAGACUAAAUCAUCUCUGAAAAUAGAAAAUAAAUGCAAAGACAGGAUAAACAAAUUUGCAACUCAUCUAUUAAUUCUACUUAGAACACACUUCUGGAAGAGUCCAGAAACACUCUUGGGAAUGAGGGAAAGAAAAUGUUUCAACUAAAUGAACUUUAAUCAGCCCAGAGGUUAUGAGGAACAGCAGAGUGCAGUGCAGGAAGCUGUUUACAUUUGCAUCCAGAGUAGUCUCAUCUGGAAGUCACAGGGGUCAUGACUUUAGGCCUAGAGAAAGGAAAGCAUAAUCAUAGUAUGCAAUUUGCAUAUUAAAUAAACCAUGUUAAGUAGUGAUAAUUAUGUCCCAAUUGUUUAUUUUUAGAAUCAGUCUGCAAAAUCAAAUAUCGUUAUGCUUAGUAAUACGAGCAGUACCAAAGAAAAGAUUCAGAGUUUUGGAGGUGGAGGUGAUGGGAAGGAUAAAAUGAUCUAAUAAGAAAUGGAAAUUUGGGCCUGGUGCGGUGGCUCAUGCCUGUAAUCCUAGCACUUUCAGAGGCAGAGGCGAGGUGGGUGGAUCUCUGGAGGUCAGGAGUGUGAGACCAGCCUGGCCAAAAUGGUGAAUCCACUUCUCUACUAAAAAUACACAAUUAGCUGGGCAUGGUGGCAUGCAUCUGUAAUCCCAGCCA
ensembl:lncRNA